rnacentral:lncRNA from 1 species
GUGGUGUGGGGGAUGUUGUGGUGUGUCGAUGUUGUUGCGAGAUGGUGGUUAUUGGGACUGCCUUAUUAAUCUUGGUGCCUUUGAUUAUCCUCUUAUCACGCAAGAAAAUCUGAUUCAUACAUUUUCUUCACUACAGAGAGAUUUUAAUUUUAUUGAUCAUACAAGUAUUCCCGGAUGGAAAGAAUAAGAUAAAGUUGAUUGGUAAAGUUUGAGAUGCAUUGUUUGAAAGAAGCAAUCUGAAUCAUCUCUCUCAGAUCCUAUAUCGCAUAUGCUAAUGAUUUUUAAUCGACUUUGGUGAUUCGACUUGGUCACACUUUGCCACAAACGGGUCAAAUGGUUAAAUUUUCAUGGGCUUUUGGAAAUAAUGUCCAAGAAUUCAAUGAUUUGAAACGAGGAUCCUGCACUUCGUCAGGAAAUCGACCUUGAAGAUGAAAGAGUUGCAGGCACAUUGCAUUCUGUAUAGAUUGUGUAGUUUUAAUUGUAAAGAUUUACACCUGUGUUGCAAAACUCAAAUUAUAUGGCCUUUUGCUACAUCUUGCCGUAUAGCAUAGGCAUUAGUUAUCCGAUGAGAAACCAAAGGGCAAGGCAACCAUACAUUAUCAGCUUCGGCUUGCAGGUGGUAACUUUGUUCUAAGUGUGGCAAUCAUGGGAGAAGGAUAUCAACAUGAAAGAAAUGGAACAACAGUUGCAUGAGCAUGUGGGUCUACUAAGACAGAGUGAAUUAAUAAGAAUAAAUGCCAAGAAGGAGCUUAAAGAAAUGGAACUACAGUCACGAUUGGAUUGGCCUCAUAUGAUGAGGUAACAUUUCACAAUAAUAAUCAAAUAGAUAUAAUAAUUUACUACUUAUAUAUUUUUUUGGAACAAGGUGACUCUAUAUCACUGAGACAACCUUUAUCCACAUGCCAUUAAUCUCUUUUUCAAAAUUUGGAUCUCAAACCUUUUAUUUGGACUUUGUUUUAUAAGCAUUUAACGCCCCGUUUGCGGUAUGCGCCUAUAAUGUAUAUAUGUGUGGGCGUUCGGGGUGCAAAAGUGAAAGUACACUAAUUUUAACAUUAUUUUACUAAUUUCGUGAAAGUAACGUUAAAAAGGGAGAUGGUUAAUUAUGCAUCAUGUGGUGGCGUUGAUAGCCGAAAGACAAGGGGGUACAUGCACUAAUCGGCCUUUGUCUCAAUUGUUGAGUGUUAUGUGCCUUAUGUCCAAAGCUUGACGCAAAACUACUAUUUAGCCAGGGGUCUCACUGGAAGCAGCCGCUUUAUUCCUAUGGGGUAGAGGUAAGGCGGUCUACAUCUUACCCUUCCCAUACCCUACCUUAGAUUUGCUAUUGGUGGGAUUUACUAAGUAUGAUGAUGAUGAUGAUGAUCAUUUUAUACGCAUUUAAAAUGUCAAUGUGGGUUAAUCGAUUUAUUGCUUUAGUUUAUAUAUGCAUCUAAAAUGUCAAUCAUUCUUUAUUCUUUAUGAAUUCCUACUUCAAUUUAUUAUUUUAGUUUAAGAAUAACUAUUUUAUAACAGGUUUUAGAAGCUUACAAAGUAUCAUGUGAAAAAUAUGUUAUAUUUUUCCUAGGCUAUGGCCUCUACACCUAUCUUUAUUCUUUCAUGCUUGACUAUGUAUAAUGAACUAUGUAUAUUGUCAUAAUUUCACAUAAAAGAAAUAACGAUAUCUAAUUCUCUUGGUGUUAAUGAGCUCGUGAUUCCUGCAAUACCUGAACUUUACAAAACAUGGACCAAAGUGCUUGGCUUCAAGCAACUUGAUGAAUCGUUGAGGCAUGCAAUGAAGGGUAUGCGUUUGAUAGUGUUUCCUGUUAAAGAUAUAUGCUUCGCCAACCUCUCCUAAAGAAUCAGUUUGCUGAUAAGAAUCUUAUUUCAGUGCAGGUUGAAGUGAAAAGGAUACUUCCCAGAGAGGAUACACAGGGAAGUUGAGGUGUAUCAAGAACAAAGAAAAUAUUUGUUGGUGAUGAAUUGGGGGAAUAGUUUUCAAUAUAUGGUGGUAUUUCAGUGCAGGUUGAAGUGAAAAGGAUACUUCCCAAAGAGGAUACACAGGGAAGUUGAGGUGUAUCAAGAACAAAGAAAAUAUUUGUUGGUGAUGAAUUGGGGGAAUAGUUUUCCAUAUAUGGUGGUAUUUCAGUGCAGGUUGAAGUGAAAAGGAUACUUCCCAGAGAGGAUACACAGGGAAGUUGAGGUGUAUCAAGAACAAAGAAAAUAUUUGUUGGUGGUAUAUCAUACAGUUUCUUGUGUUACAGUCUAUGGAUUAAUUAAAUCAUGUAUGGAUAAUAAACUUUGUAACUUUAAUUUGUAGAUGAAUUGGGGGAAUAGUU